rnacentral:rRNA from 1 species
UACGUAGGGUGCAAGCGUUGUCCGGAAUUAUUGGGCGUAAAGAGCUCGUAGGCGGUCUGUCGCGUCGGCUGUGAAAACUCGGGGCUCAACCCCGAGCCUGCAGUCGAUACGGGCAGACUAGAGUGCUGUAGGGGAGACUGGAAUUCCUGGUGUAGCGGUGAAAUGCGCAGAUAUCAGGAGGAACACCGGUGGCAAAGGCGGGUCUCUGGGCAGUAACUGACGCUGAGGAGCGAAAGCGUGGGGAGCGAACAGG